UCAAAGUCUGUGUUCGUUAUUUCUCAAAAUGAUCGUAUUCUUGGACUAGAAGCUCCCGAAGUGACCUGAUUCGUCGUGGAUGAUCAACUUAUUCAUUGGGGAAGUGUUGAUUUAGUGUUUGAGCAAAACUAAAGUUGUUUUAACAAGCUUUAUCGAGGCAGACAAGCCCAAGUACAAAGACAUACGGCUUCGGACCAGUCGUGGUAUAAAUAUACACUACAUAAACAAGACCAGAUUGCCGAAGGUAUUAAAUCAAGGUUUUAAAUCUACAUUUCAGUCCAUCUGUCCGUUAUCUUUCCUGGGAAUUUUGACCAUGUAGUGCAAUCAUCGCUUUGAAGAUUUGAGAAGUAAUUAACCGUGUCUAAUGCCAUGGCUUCUGACGAACUGCAAGAAAAAGCAAAUUUUACAAGACUCAGUAGACUUUUGGUUGACAAAGGAACUGAGGCUUUGAGAAGUACAUUUGAUACCAUCCAUCCACCUGUUAGUCUGCCCGGAGUACUGGCUGCAAACAAAACAUCUCUUCAAAAGACUCGAGUUAUUAACAAUUCCCAGUGGGAUUUACUGUUUCCUCCGUCUGGCAACCCACCAGAUUCCAAAACCUUUGAUGUCACAUUACUUACAGUUCUAUUCCGGAACAUUUGUGGUUUUCCAUCAACAGGAUGGAGUGUAAUGCCUCCGGAUACUGAUAGGUCAAUGCAAGCGAAUAUCACAAGAAUCAAGUGUUACAGAAAUGAAGUUUUCGCACAUGUAACAACCACUCG